rnacentral:rRNA from 1 species
AAUUCACUAGUGAUUAGAGUUUGAUCAUGGCUCANAACGAACGCUGGCGGCAGGCUUAACACAUGCAAGUCGAGCGCCCCGCAAGGGGAGCGGCAGACGGGUGAGUAACGCGUGGGAAUCUACCUUUUGCUACGGAAUAACUCAGGGAAACUUGUGCUAAUACCGUAUGUGCCCUUCGGGGGAAAGAUUUAUCGGCAAAGGAUGAGCCCGCGUUGGAUUAGCUAGUUGGUGGGGUAAAGGCCCACCAAGGCGACGAUCCAUAGCUGGUCUGAGAGGAUGAUCAGCCACACUGGGACUGAGACACGGCCCAGACUCCUACGGGAGGCAGCAGUGGGGAAUAUUGGACAAUGGGCGCAAGCCUGAUCCAGCCAUGCCGCGUGAGUGAUGAAGGCCCUAGGGUUGUAAAGCUCUUUCACCGGUGAAGAUAAUGACGGUAACCGGAGAAGAAGCCCCGGCUAACUUCGUGCCAGCAGCCGCGGUAAUACGAAGGGGGCUAGCGUUGUUCGGAUUUACUGGGCGUAAAGCGCACGUAGGCGGACUUUUAAGUCAGGGGUGAAAUCCCAGAGCUCAACUCUGGAACUGCCUUUGAUACU